rnacentral:rRNA from 1 species
CACGUAGGGGCAAGCGUUGUCCGGAAUCAUUGGGCGUAAAGAGCUCGUAGGCGGCUCAGUAAGUCGGGUGUGAAACCCUCAGGCUCAACCUGGGGACGCCACCCGAUACUGCUGUGGCUAGAGUCCAGUAGGGGAGUGUGGAAUUCCCGGUGUAGCGGUGAAAUGCGCAGAUAUCGGGAGGAACACCAGCGGCGAAGGCGGCACUCUGGGCUGGUACUGACGCUGAGGAGCGAAAGCGUGGGUAGCAAACAGG